rnacentral:rRNA from 1 species
GGGAUGAGCUUGCGUCCGAUUAGAUAGUUGGUGAGGUAACGGCCCACCAAGGCGACGAUCGGUAGCCGGCCUGAGAGGGUGAUCGGCCACAUUGGGACUGAGAUACGGCCCAGACUCUACGGGAGGCAGCAGUAGGGAAUAUUGCACAAUGGGGGAAACCCUGAUGCAGCAACGCCACGUGUGGGAAGAAGCAUUUCGGUGUGUAAACCACUGUCGUGAGGGAAUAAAGCUGGACCCCGGUCCAGUUGAAUGUACCUCGAAAGGAAGCACCGGCAAACUUCGUGCCAGCAGCCGCGGUAAUACGAGGGGUGCAAGCGUUAUUCGGAAUCACUGGGCGUAAAGGGAGCGCAGGCGGAAGUGCAAGCGGACUGUACAAUACCGGGGCCCAACCCGCACCUGCAGUCCGGACUGCAUUUCUUGGAUAGUUCAGGGGCAAGCGGAAUUCCUGGUGUAGCGGUGGAAUGCGUAGAGAUCAGGAAGAGCACCGAUGGCGAAGGCAGCUUGCUGGGGACUAAUCGACGCUCAUGCUCGAAAGUGCGGGUAGCAAACAGGAUUAGAUACCCUGGUAGUCC